AUUCCCUAGUAGCGGCGAGCGAGCGGGAAGAGCUCAAAUUUAUAAUCUGGCACCUUCGGUGUCCGAGUUGUAAUCUCUAGAAAUGUUUUCCGCGUUGGACCGCACACAAGUCUGUUGGAAUACAGCGGCAUAGUGGUGAGACCCCCGUAUAUGGUGCGGACGCCCAGCGCUUUGUGAUACAUUUUCGAAGAGUCGAGUUGUUUGGGAAUGCAGCUCAAAUUGGGUGGUAAAUUCCAUCUAAAGCUAAAUAUUGGCGAGAGACCGAUAGCGAACAAGUACCGUGAGGGAAAGAUGAAAAGCACUUUGGAAAGAGAGUUAACAGUACGUGAAAUUGUUGGAAGGGAAACGCUUGAAGUCAGACUUGCUUGCCGAGCAAUCGGUUUGCAGGCCAGCAUCAGUUUUCCGGGAUGGAUAAUGGUAGAGAGAAGGUAGCAGUUUCGGCUGUGUUAUAGCUCUCUGCUGGAUACAUCUUGGGGGACUGAGGAACGCAGUGUGCCUUUGGCGGGGGUUUCGACCUCUUCACACUUAGGAUGCUGGUGGAAUGGCUUUAAACGACCCGUCUUGAACCCACGGACC
rnacentral:rRNA from 1 species